rnacentral:rRNA from 1 species
UACGUAGGGUGCGAGCGUUAAUCGGAAUUACUGGGCGUAAAGCGUGCGCAGGCGGUUCGUUAAGUCAGAUGUGAAAUCCCCGGGCUUAACCUGGGAACUGCAUUUGUGACUGGCGAGCUAGAGUAUGGCAGAGGGGGGUAGAAUUCCACGUGUAGCAGUGAAAUGCGUAGAGAUGUGGAGGAAUACCGAUGGCGAAGGCAGCCCCCUGGGCCAGUACUGACGCUCAUGCACGAAAGCGUGGGGAGCAAACAGG